rnacentral:tRNA from 1 species
GGGAAGGUGGCUCAGUGGUAGAGUGUUUGCCUUGCAUGCAUGAGACCUUUGGUUCGAUUCCUCAGCAUCACA